rnacentral:rRNA from 1 species
GACAGAGGAUGCAAGCGUUAUCCGGAAUGAUUGGGCGUAAAGCGUCUGUAGGUGGCUUUUCAAGUCCGCCGUCAAAUCCCAGGGCUCAACCCUGGACAGGCGGUGGAAACUGUCAGGCUCGAGUCCGGAAGAGGCGAGUGGAAUUCCUGGUGUAGCGGUGAAAUGCGCAGAUAUCAGGAGGAACACCAAUGGCGAAGGCAGCUCGCUGGGACGGUACUGACGCUGAGACGCGAAAGCGUGGGGAGCAAACAGG